rnacentral:tmRNA from 1 species
GGGGGUGACCGGUUUCGAUAUGGCAGUUCUGAGAGAGGAAGCAGGCCGAGGUCUCCUCACCUCGCUAAACAGGGGUAAACGACGCGCAAGCGCCAACAACGAUCUCGCCCUCGCCGCCUAGACAGCGGUGAGCGUCGCCCGGCACGAGUCCCCGGUGCCGGAUGCGACGUCAUCAGGGGACUACCGGGGCCGCUGACGCGGGUAUGCGGCCAGGGAACGUGAUCUCGCUGGGGAAGGGCACGCUCGUCACGGUGUGUAGCCCGACCCGAGACCUCAAACCGUGACUGAGCCUGGAGACGCCUCUCAGGGAGCUGGCAUACA